rnacentral:rRNA from 1 species
UACGUAGGGGGCUAGCGUUGUCCGGAUUUAUUGGGCGUAAAGAGCGUGUAGGCGGCCAGGUAGGUCUGCUGUGAAAACUCGAGGCUUAACCUCGAGAUGUCGGCGGAAACCAUCUGGCUAGAGUCCGGAAGAGGAGAGUGGAAUUCCUGGUGUAGCGGUGAAAUGCGCAGAUAUCGGGAAGAACACCCGUGGCGAAGGCGGUUCUCUGGGACGGUACUGACGCUGAGACGCGAAAGCGUGGGGAGCGAACAGG